CACGGCGUCACACAGUCACCCACGGGGGCUCUUCCCGAGAAGGAACGUCUCCUGAGGCUGCUCACAGCCUUCCGCUGGCUGCCUAGGCGGGAGGCGACGUGUCCUCACAGGCACUGCCCCCCCCCCCCAGAACAUCACUGUAGCAGAGGGCACAUGCUGGCUGCGCCCUGCCCAGCUUCUCAGCCAUCCCCACCAUCUUGGUCACCUCAGCACCUCACAGGGAUCAAAGCAAACCCCUCUGAACGGUUCUGUUCACAUCACUAAUUAUGCAGCUUCCACGCAGGAGGAAGUUGCAGGACACAGGCUAGUUCUUGCUGGCAACACAGCCAGGAUCUUUCUUUAGAAGCCCCUGCAGCAGCAGGAACCAGGGCAGGCUGGAGAUGUGUGCUAGCAACCAUCGGUUACCUCAGCAUCCUAUCAGGGCACUAAGCACCACAGAGCAGACGGGAUCCCAGCCUUCCCAUCACCUCUACGACCAUAAAGCUUCCCCAAAACUGCAAACUUUCAUGCUAUUUGGAGAAGAAUCAAAGCUACCAGGCUUUCUUGGUGAAAUAUUAGUUGCUAGUGCCAGGCAAGGUCCUGGGCUCCAGAAGCUUUCCUGGCCAUGGCAAAGAAAUAUUUCUAAGUGCUUCCCUAAGAGUGAAAUAGAGGAUAGGAGGCAGCAAGGUUGCAAAGCGCAUGGAUGACAGGGCAGUGCUGGUGGCCUGGUGGCCCCUGGGACACCUCCAGUGUUGUGACUGGCGCUGGAGAAGAUGCCCAAAAGAUGAUCUGAAAGACAACAUGAGGCCUUCAGUCAUGGACACACGUGCUGUGAGGCAGGGCGACUACCCUCACCAGUGGCAUACAUAAUCAAAGCACCCAGAGCAAGAAUAAACAAAUGUCUUUGGCUCUGUGCUCAUCUUCCAUUAGCCAAAAGGCAGGUGUGGUUGGGGGGAGGGGGACAUAGCCAGUUUUCCAGCCAUUUCCCUGAACUCAACCCUGAUGUUGCAAGAGCUGCCUAGCUGUGAAAACACAGCCUCGCCUUGAUUUAUGCUACUUGUGGGCAAGAUGACUAAGAAAAAGGGGAAAGAAAAAAAAAAAAGAGCAGAACAGGACCAGAAAUCCCAAUGGGAACUCAGUGUGGGUGUGUACCAAUUUGGUGGGACAGUCAGGUUGGGGAAACUCCAGCCAAAGCUGCGAGCGGUUAGGAAGAAGAGACCACAAACCACAUGAUAUGUAUCAUGAUGUGCCACUUAAGAUUCAAAGCAUGCCACAGCAUUUUUGAACAUUACUCUUAGGUACCAGGAAAAAGAAAUUAAUUCUUUUGUGUAAUUGUAACAAUUUUUUUUUUCUCCUUCAGAUGAGUUCCAUAUGUCCUCAUGAUUUUUUUUUUUCCUUUAAACACAGCAGUUUAGAACAAAUCUUAAGUAACAUUUAGCCUGCUCCUAAAGUAAAUAUUUACAAAAACAUUACAUAAUGGCUCUGAUCUUUGGAAAAUGUAUAUUGCUGCCUACCUGCUACUGUUUUGUUCCUAUCGGGAAUAAUAGAGAAGCUUUAUCAUAACCCCCAAGGCCGUAAAAGCAGUAUAACAAUGUGAUUAGCAGUAAUCAGAUGGGAAAUACUAUUAAAAGCUUUGAAGAGAUAAGAGGGAUAAAUGGCAAAGGGAAGGUUAUGUUAUUUUGUUUGUACAAAUUUCCAGAAAUCUAGUGGGGGAAAUAGGCUUCUAAUCUUACAAAAGCUGUAUUGUUUUUUGGGAAGCGUUAUAGUGUUGUCUGAUAUUUAUGUCAUGUAUCAUCUUCAAAGAGCUUUCCUGAAGAAAUAUUAAUCAUUUCAGCAACCACUUAAAGGCAACCACUUCAGGGGUGCAGCGAGGCAGUAACUUAACAAGUAAGUUGUAGUAAGUCAGGAAGUGAGGACAGCCAGAUUCAGCAAGGAGCCCAUGUGGGCACAAAAAAUACUUGUGGAAGCUUUAACAAUAUCUUUAAUCAGGCAAAGCAAAACCCCAUGGAAUAGAAGGCAUAUUUAUUUGUUAGUGAGAAACUGGCAUUGGAACUCAUAACUAUGGUGAGUUUCCAACAGGCAAGAGAUACUGGCUCUUGGAGAAAACAGUUUGUGAAGGAUCAGUAUCUAUGUGCAGGAGAGUGUAAUUCUUUUUUAUUUUUUAAAUCAGAACAUGCUCCUUACAGGACUAACUGCCCUUUUGUCUCACCUUUACUCCCAGGUGAAAUACUGUUGGCUUCUAUGCUGUCUGUCUUUCUAUCAUGCUGUACUUUCUUUUGAAGUAUUUCAAAGAACUUACUGGAUUUUAAACUCUAUUUCUUGCACCUUUUCUUUAAUGAGGGACUCUGAACCACACAUUCUCCCAGAAAUUGUGCUGUGCCAAAACUGGAAGUCUGAGCUCAGCCUUUCCUUUGUCCUUUUCCUACAAGUGAAGCUGGAGGUGUCUUUUGCCAUCUCUGGUGGGAGCAGAAAAUUCCUCUUUUUGUAUGCUGCGAAUCACAGAAUAAUUUCAGUUCUAAGGCAUGUCAAGAGCAAUGUCAUCCACAUGGCUUUGCUCAAAGAAGGGUUAGACUCCAUAUCUGAUCAGGUUGCUCAGGUACAAGUAAGAACCCUAAUUGGAUUUCUGUCUUGUGCACAGGUGGCAUAAUAUGUAGCUGCCCUGAACUCAUAAGUUAACAAGCCCAAAGCAUUUGCACUGCUAGCUGCCAUGCCAUCACCUAUGUGCCAUGACACCCGUGCUGUGAGGCAUCUAGAAGGUACAGAUUUUCCUGCAGAAGAUUGAUUUUGAUGGUAGCAGUUGUAUUCACGUGUAACAUCACUGUUCAGUCACGUAAUUAAUGAUUCAAAACACACACUUGUCAGAAGAACAAGCCUCUGCUUAAGGCUGUCUGCUCAAUUAUCGUAACUGUGUUAACAUGUUUUACAUCUUUUGUUUCUAUUGCAACCAAUAUAACAUAUGAUGUAGUAUUGUUCUCAGUCUUAUAUGUGCUAUAUGUGUAUAUUUGUUGCCUGUUUGUCCUCAUGUAUCCAACUCAGCAUCUUUUGUCUCAGAGUUCCACAAACAACCAAUCUAGCUCUUGAACAAAAUCCCCCUCAAUCCUAACAUCCUCCCAUCUGAGGGCCAGGUAUGAAUUUUGCAGACCAACUAGUAUUAAUAGCUUGUAUUACAUUUUGCAAAGUCUCACCUUGUGCUGUGGCCCCUGCAAUGACAGACCACAUCCUGUCUGAGACUAGGCACGUAAAUACACUAAAGAAAACCUUUCCCAGUGUUAGAUUCCACUGUGCAUUCUCCCUCUGUAUAAAGUUUAGUCUGUGCUGGUGUAUGUAUAUAAUGCAAGCAUUACAUGUGCAUACACCUAGGAAAGAAUACAUAUGUGUAUUUAUUUAUAUACAUUGUGUUUACAUACAAAAAUAUAUGCAUACACACAAACAGAACAGUGGGAUAGGCGAGUGCUAUUAACACUUCACUAAAUGCUUUCCAGCUUUUGUUCUCUCAUUCUCUUAAAGAUAUUCUGGAUUUGGGCCAGCAGGGGCAGAAAGAACCUGCCCUGCUGUUCUUCUACUACAAGUACGGUGAAUCCUGGCUUUUUGAGACCUUCCAUCUGCAACUUGAGCCCUUGCAUUACUGUCCCAUCCCUUAAACAUAUUAAAUCAUAGAGAUGCUGAAAGAAAUGUCCAAAAGCAACUCAUCUACCCAAGCAGGAGUAAGCUCCCUGCUGUGUAGCAAAAUCUGUACUCAAGAAACAGCUACAAUAGAUCUUUUUCCUUGAGGCCUAUUAAGCUGAGAUUUCUUCCUGUUCAGCAUAGUUCAGUGUGCAGUUCCAGAAGUUCUAUUUAAUUUCAUAAACAGUUUGAAUGCCUUUUUUUUGUUUUGGAGAAAGAUGAGAGUUCAGCUGCUCCAGAGUCCUUUAAGGUUCAACUCUUUAGCAUUCAUUUUGUUUUUCUGGUUUCCAGAUUGCCAUCACUUUCUACAGCCUUGAUACAAUUUUAAGUUUGCUAGUGCGUAUUGAUGAGAAGUCUGAGAGAAGUUUCAUUAGCAGGGAUGAUUCUUCAUUAUAAAAAAGAUAAACCAGCCUUCCAAGAUAGCACUUCUGAAGGAAGAUUCUAUGUGUGACUUUAAUUCUUUUAACCCAGGGAAGAAUAACCCAAAAAAUUGCAAUUAACACAGUGUGUGUGUGACUAGAACAGCUGUUUUACUAAUAGCGUACCUGGUGGAGAAUCUUAAAACAUGCAUUGUGUGCAUGAAAAUGUGAUUCGGUUCAAAAACUGUUUUGUUUUGUUUUUCCUCCUUUUGGAACUGGUGGAAUAUGGUGCACUUUUGUUGUAUGUGUGUAUAUGGGCCUGUUCCUUAUUAAACUCAUGGUACUUUUUCCAGUAACCACUUCAGUGCUGUGAAUCAGCAGAAAAACACCAUCUGUCGACUGGAUAAACAAGAGUCUCAUUAGCUGGAAGCUUAAUAGAUCACAAAGUCUCACCAAGUCCAUUUUUAUUAUAAUAAAUUUCACCAUGGAAUGUUUUCUGAUGUCACAUGGCAAAACUGCCCUAAGUAAAUAGCAGCUGCAGCAUUUUCUAUUAUUUAUCUUAGUGUUUUGUGAGCUUAACAAUAGAAGCUGUCCAGGAUCUGAACUUCUCUAAUCUCAAAGUGCUAUAUGUGUGUCUGUGUGCUUAGUUUAAUGUAUCUUAAGCAAGUAGGCUUAUAAGAGAGCUCAUCCAGCCAGAUGCAGCUUAAGUCAGUUGGAUAUCCAUCAUCCAAACCUGAUCUCCAUAUCACUCAAGAGUAGUCAGUAUGGCUAGAGCUCAGAAAUAACUGCCAACCUCAUUUGAUCCACCUUACGCCCAAACUAUUUUCAGAUACAUUUUCCAUAGACUUACAUAUUUGGGAAAUGCUAUACAUUACAUAUACCUAAUGGAUGUGCACAUAUAUAUUUGCAUUCUAAUACCAUAUGUAGUAUAGUAGAUGUAGCAGUGGAAGGCAUAACAAACUAGCAGAGCAUCAAAGUCUAAAGCUACAGAGAGUAAGGAUAAGCUCAGAUGUAACAGCAAAAGACACAGAAACAAAGAAAGGAGAGGGGGGAGAGGAACCGAGGAACCGAGGAACCGAGGAACCGAGGAACCGAGGAACCGAGGAACCGAGGAACCGAGGAACCGAGGAACCGAGGAACCGAGGAACCGAGGAACCGAGGAACCGAGGAACCGAGGAACCGAGGAACCGAGGAACCGAGGAACCCUCUGCUUACCCUUAGAAGACCUCAGGUCUUUUCAUCCCAAGCCUACUUUGUUUGAGAGGUGAUAAAGAGAGAAAAGCACUGCAGUGUGCUCUCUGAAGAGGCCACUUAAGAGGCAGUAAGGAAUCAUGGGGUAAUGAAGGUAUGACAAGAAUGAAAGCUUCAUACAAUCAAGCAGGCAAGAUUCCUACUGUUCAUGGGACAGUGACCCAAAGCUCAGUGUCAGUGCUGAGAUAAGGACUACAAGCCUUACCAGAUCCUCUCCUGAAGGAGCCACGGAAGAUGGCAGCUCUGGACAGCGUGGCUCAGUGGGUACGGGAACCUACCAGAUCUCUAAAUGGGCACAGUUGUGGAUCAUGUCUUUUACUAAGCUUGCUCUGAUAUUUUUGGUAAAUUCUCGCGAUGUCCUCUCCAAUUCUCAUUUGGCUAUGCAUGUGGAAGUCUUCACACGUGUCUGCAGUCAAAUGCUAGCCAUGUUUUCAAUCAACACGAUUCUUUUUUUAUAUUAUGGCUGUGAGAGUUUUCAGGUUGUGCUGACGAGCCCGGUGCUAUUAAAAAAAAAGCCUCAGACCAGUGUGUUUUGGGGAGGAGAGAGAAAGUGACAUCCAUUCUGGGAAGGAAGAAGCAAGAAUACCAAGAUCUGGCAGCCUGGUCUGUGUUUGCUCCAAUGAUGCAUCGCCAUGUGCUCUUUGGUAACGCUGCCCUUUCCGUGCCACAUGUGGAUUGCCAGAUGAGGAAGCUUGGCCCAAAAUAAAAGCCAGGCUGCUUUUCAUCUCUGGGAUUUGUUUGUGCCAAGCGAACAAAGUGACUUCUUUGUGGCUGUUUGCAUUUGUCGUUCCAAGUUGUCUGAGCAUGAGGUUAUAAAUACGCACCAGGGUUUGAUAGCCUCAAUAUGUCCAGUCGGACAAGCCUUGCGUGCUGGCAAGAGAAGGAUUUGGCUUGCCUUAAUUAUUUUUGUUUUAAUAGUUUUUAAAAUGUUUGAUAUAAAUCAAAGAUACUGUAAAUAAAACUCAUGAGGACGGGGUUCCUCCCUUAGCCAUUUUGUAGAUUGGGUUUCUGACCUGUGAUUAUUGGCGAACUUUCUGUUUCAUAUUUGUAUUCUUUGCAGUCAUGUAUGUAAAGGGAUGCUGUCAAGUUAGGUAUGUAAUGUAAUGUCAGUGACAUUCUUAGAUUGCUUUUCGUAGGGAAAUGUAAUGAUGUCAGUAUUCUAUCAACUUACCUCCUCUUUGAGGAGAUGCAAAGUAUGAGAGGAACGUGAGGCGCUGAGUUGUUCUGAGCUGUGCCUCAGGACUGCUAAUAGCCAAGGCUGCUGCCCUGGGCUGGUGACAAGAAGGCCCAUUAAUCAGCAGUGACUGAGCAGUCUGGGGUAAAUCCUGAGCCUUGGGGACUGUUAGCCAAAUCCUGACUGCUUCAUUUGGGAAUGUUCAACUUACUCGACUUGAUUUUUUUCUGUGCUCACCCUCAGCCCCCACCGCUGAAAAGUAAUACUGGUGAAAAGUGCCUCAUUGGGAAUAUAAUUUUAUGGAAAACAUUUUAUUUUUGUAUCCAAAUCUUCCAGUCAGUGUAGGGUUUUCCAUUUGCUUUUAGCAAAGGCUGUUUUUCACUAUUUUUCUUGUCCAAAAUUCUUAUUAAGAAACUGAAUGCUUUUACCAAAAAUGGGCAUCUUUUCCUUCUCCUUCACCCCCUUCUCCAUGCACAACAUCCUUCAGACCCCUGAAAACAAUCUAAUUGAAAGAAAGCACAUUUCUGUUAAAAAUUUCCCAUGGAAAUGAUUUUGUUGUGGUUUAUGUCUGUUCUGUCUCUCUUCUGUCUGGAGCUGGAAGAAAAUUCCUCAAAAUCAUUAUCAGCCAGUGCAUCUCUAUAGCCUGAGUGAACUUCUAAACAUCUCAUUUAUUCCUUAAUGGAACAAUCCAGAAACCAUAACUGUGGUCUCUGGCUUAUUUGUAAUUUGUAUACUGAAAUAGAUAUUUGAACAGUGAUUUGGAAAUCGAAAAUUGGUCAAAGACCUUACUUUUAAGACUUGUGUCAAAGAAAAUGCAUUUACUGGUUGCAGCAAUAUGCUGUGCAUUGUAUGUAUGCAUACGCCCUUAUAUAUGUGUGUGUGUGUGCGUGUAUCUACUAAGUACAUACAGUUGGAAGUGAAAGAUCAUGGGAUAAGUUUUGCAUGCUGAAUUUUAGUGUUUCUCGGUAUUAAGCUUCAUCCUGAGAGCAGUGACCACCCUAGGCAGGAGAUGGGCCCAGGUCUGUUUUAUGCAGUGCAUGUUUCUUUUUUUGCAUCCUCGUGCAAAAAGAAACUAUAGUGCCCUGUACAUGUGUGAUAGCACAGGAAGAUGCAUGCUGUAUCUGUGUGGACUGAGUGGACUGAAAUGGGCAGAUUCAACCUGCUGCAGACCUUUCUAAUGUAGUAUGAAUGAGUACUUAUAGAAUCUGGCCCACACAGGAGAAUAGAUGCUUGGAUAUGUGUCCCUUUGCAAAUGCAGUCUGUGGCAAUGGGCUUCUUACUUGCAAUUAUUCCUCCGUGUGUAAGUUAGGAGGCAUAUAAUAUAAACUGAAGCCUAAUUUUUUCUUUGAAGCUAUUAACACCCACCCACAUGCAACAGGAAACAGACUUCAAUUUUAAUUAGUACCAACACAUUGAAAAUUCACCCUAUAUUUGCCUUCAAGUGCAGCAAAGCAGCUUCAAAGCUAAAAGCUUCUUCACUUUCUAAGUAAUAAUGAGGUAUUAAUGAGGCAAUUAGGGGCUUGUAAACAUGGUGUCAAAGAGAUAUGAACUAAUCACCAGCAACAGGAAAAAGACAGAUCCCUCUGACUUCAGUGCUCUGCACUCUCCCUAGCCCCCUGAGGCAUUCUGUGCUUGUAAACUAAUCCGCAAAAAUGUUCUAGAUUAAUUCAAAACACUAUCCUCCUUUUAAUUCCCUGACUGUCUUCAGGCUUGUUUCUGAAUAGAUGCUCUGUGUGAAGGCUUUUAAAUAGGCACUUUUGUUAUUGCAAUAAAACCCAGAUUGAAGUUCUCUUGCGCUAAGCUGUCAAUUUAUGUUUGGCUCCCUUCUUAGAUCCAUAUGAAAUAUUUCUAAAUCAUUUGUUAGAAUACUUCUUCCAGUUUAUUUCCUUCUAGUCUAUAUAAAUAAAUUUUAAAAAAGAAGCAAAACAUAAUUUAAUUAGAACCGACAAACACCAUUUUUUUUUCCUUGAAAAUGUUAGUGUUGAAACUAAAUACACCGGUUACAUCCUGGAGAGAUGCAGAUGAGGCAGGGACAGCCAUUUCCCCUCGCAGAUUUUUUAGCUGGGGUGUUGGACUAGGAUUUGCAAGAUCAGGAUUCUGAUCGCACUAAUUUGCUGUGUGAUUUUAUGAGAGUCACUUUUAUGACUCUCAUUUCCUUGUAGAAGUACAGCUCAGAUUCGCUCUAAGGAGUGCCUCACAUCAACCUGCUUUCUGUUGCUGAAGUGAAAGUCACAGCAGAUUUAUCCAAAGUAAGGCAUUAAACGUGGUCCACCUUCAUGACGCAUUUUGAAGUUGUUCCUAUUAGAAAAUGUCUUUCCAAAUAAGCCUUUCUUCUUUUUUAAGUGAAAGAGGAGAAAAAGAAC